CGUCACAUGGUGGGCGCUGUGGCUGCGGCUGCGGCUGCAGCGGCCCCAGGUGCAAACAGACUGCCGCUGAAUGUGAGCAGCGAGGCGAGGGGUCGAGGUAGCGAGGAGUCAGGGUGGCCCGCAGCAGGAAGACAGAAGGCGUGGAGACAGACUGGCGUUUUGCCUCAGAGGAAGAAGUGGAGUCCCCCAUCGCAUUCUGUGUGCAAGUGCCAGUUCCAGUGAUUCGUACUUUCAUGUCCGAGGAACCUAGAGAACGGUGGGGGUAAAUAACGGGAGCCUGAAGUUUCUGCUCUGGCCUUGCGUGUUCGAAUCUCAUCGCUGAGACUUUCUUCUGCUUUGGAUCGCUUGUCCCAGGCUGUCGCCGCGCUGUGGCGUCUCCCCUCGUAGGAGCCUAACGCCAACCCCUGCGCCAGAACAAAAGGGUUGUGCCACCUCCUAUGGAUGUGAAGAGGAUGUGCUGACACGUGUGCUCGGGAGCCAGACUUUGUGGCCUUGGGGAAAGGACUGAAUAUUUCCGUGCUUCGUCGUUUGCAUGUGUGGAAUGCAGGUGAUACUGAGCUCUUCCUUGUGGGAUUAUUGCCUGGAAAUACACCAUUAUAUGUUCAUCGCCUCCAGGUUUACCACGAGACUCGGCAUUCUCGGGCCUCAGCUGAAUGGGUUUUAAACUGCGGAGGGAGGCCCAGGCGGAGAGGGUGUAGGCCCACUUUUCUCACUCGUGUCUAAGCAAGCCUUGUCCUGGCGGCAGCCAAGGUGAAGGCAGACGCUGUUUCCGGGAUCCAGUGGACCAGACCAGGCCAGGGGAUUUGGGCGUGGGCCUCCGAGGCGGCAGUGGGUGGUCCAGGGGCGUUGUGAAGCGGUCAGGCGCUGUGGAUGAGGAAGUGCAGGGCCCGCCUGCAGCACCGAAGUUUAGAAAGGCCAAACACUGCUCCUAACCCGUGCGGCAAGGACUGCCCCAUUCAGUAAGCAGGGCAAAAUCCCGCCGUGGCAAGCCUCUCCGUAGUUUCCCUGUGUGCUACACCUGGGCUGCUUCUGCUGGCUUCUUUGAAAAUGGAGAAGGGAGCAGAGGGAAGAACCUUGCAGGUAAUUCACAGGGAACUGACCCUAGGCAGCAUAGGCUCAGUUAUUGUUUGCCGUAUGUCAGAUUGUUUGCAUGUACUUGUGCACGCGUUUUCAAAUGCAUAAAACCCUAUGCAUGUUUCAAA